ACAUGCUCUGCAUUUGCAAAACCUGUUUAGUCGUGAAAAGAUUCAAAAGAAAUCACAUCAUUAUAUUAAUCAAACUAUUUGGAUCUUUAAAGGGAAGACAGAAUGAAUGAUCAGAAUGCAUCUGUGCAAAGCAGUAAUGAUAAGCCUAAAUGUAACUGGAACUGGCCUCUACUGAUUGCAGUGUCUGGCUUAGCAUUGUACCAAUGGUUCACGCAAAGGAGACUGAAAAAUGAGCUUGAUUGCCUGAGGAGAAGCAUUGGGAGAGACAGAAUGGAGGAUAAAGGGAUAGCUGUUAUUCGCGAAAUCCGCAGGUUGCUUUAUGCUAGAGAAGAAAUCGCUUGCAGCUAUCGUCAGCCCCAUAUUACUAUAAGGUUAAUAGAGGAGGAGAUAAAUAUGUUGAUAUCCAAUGACCCUAUAGCACGUCAACUCAAUAUGCAGGCUAAUAUCACCAAAUACAUCCAGCGCUCAGUAUACAGCUCUGUAAAUGACUGUGUUGCAGACUUGCAGAAAAAACUUGAGAGUUUACAAGAAAACCAGCAAAAAUAGAAAGACAUUUCAAUAAACAGUACGUCAGGGCAUGACUGUUCUAGUUUGACACUUGAUUUAUGUUUGUUGUAUAUUAUAUAACGAUUUACAUUUAUGAUUUAUACUUGUUUGGAUUGAUAUUGCUGUGUGAUAUUCAAAUAGUUUCUGUCAUGAUUUGCUGUGUGAGCUAUAACUAAACCAAUAUGACUUCUACUGUUGGUAUACUGUAGAAAUCUGUUUUAACACUGUAUUUAACUGUCGGGUAUCUUUAUCUUGCAUGUUCUGUCUGUCUUUUAGUUAAUAAAUU